GAUGAACGCUCGCGGCAGGCCUAAUACAUGCAAGUCGAACGGGUGGUCGCAAGACCACUAGUGGCGCACGGGUGCGUAACGCGUAACCAACCUGCCCCGAUCUGGGGGAUAGCCCGCCGAAAGGCGGAUUAAUACCGCAUAUACCCGCAGCCUGGCAUCAGGCAACGGGGAAAGAUUUAUUGGAUCGGGAUGGGGUUGCGUGACAUUAGCUAGUUGGCGGGGUAAGGGCCCACCAAGGCGACGAUGUCUAGGGGACCUGAGAGGGUGAUCCCCCACACUGGCACUGGGAUACGGGCCAGACUCCUACGGGAGGCAGCAGUAGGGAAUAUUUGGCAAUGGGCGAGAGCCUGACCCAGCCAUGCCGCGUGCCGGAUGAAGGCCUUCUGGGUUGUAAACGGCUUUUCUCAGGGAAGAAAAAGACCUUGCGAGGUACACUGACGGUACCUGAGGAAUAAGCACCGGCUAACUCCGUG
rnacentral:rRNA from 1 species